ensembl:lncRNA
GGCCAACCAAAUUAGAUAAGAGAAAAUGAAAACUAAAAAGAGCAGCAGAGAUUAUAUUGUUUACUAGUAUUAAAGCAAAGUUGAACUCAAAAUGUGCUUAAAAAAAUUAAUAAAUUCAUCACCUUUUUUCCCCCCAUUUAGACUUUUAAUCCACAAUAUUUCAGUAAGCAUUAUGUAUGAGCUCAGUUUAUUGAGCCACAAAAUAAGCUCCACAGCUUUGGGCCUGUCAUGUCCAAUAUGCAAAUUCUUUGAGAAUGAUAUGGCACCUGGGGACCUGCAUGCUAAAACUGCUUCACUGAUGUGAAUAAUGUUAUGGUAUAUUUUCACAGGUUUGCCUACUGUCACAACAUACUGAGAAUCUAACAAUGCAAAACGAGACUCGGAUACAAAAACCCAGUUAGAACCUUCACUAGCUAGUUAGCUAGUGAGAAAGCCCAAUUUGUUUGUUUGUUUGUUUAUUUAUUUAUUUAUUUUUGUCCAUUGUUAAAAGCGCUAUACAAAUAAAAUUGAAUUGAGCUUGUCUAGGAUCCCUCUAGGUGAAAGACUGCGCAGUGUGUGAGCCUUGUCUGCGAUCGCUACAUCCGAAAAACAACAAAUCACAAGCGAUAAAAGUCAUUUACAAUGAGCAAUACGGCAAUUCUGAGGUUUUGAAAGUCGUGGAGUAUAUAAAUGUGUUUUCUGUGCUUCUUGCCUUUGCUUUCCAAAGUUCAUGAUUCCACAUCUCUUACUUUCCACAAACACACUGGAGACAGGAAAAUGCGCAACAAACAGAUGGUAAUUUCUAAGCAAUAGAGUUUGGUUUCAGGGACAAUAUGGUGCCAUAAGACAGUUCUCCAAAUAGAGAGCAAUUUCCAAUAAAGUGCAUUUUACACAAAAACAUGGCCUUGCUAUUUAUGAUCGUGCCAAGAACCGGAGGGCUUGUGUUUAACAGCCAUAUGCACGCACUGCCUUGGGUACAGUGCCAAUGUGUAGGUCUGAGGAAGGCAUUCCCGGCAGUCUCUAAUGGGCUAAACCAUUAGAUUUGGCAAAUGGGCGAACCCAUGGGUUUGGCAGAUUGAAAACCUGGCAACAUGUGAGGACACUGAAUUUCACUAUGGCAGAAAACAAAUGCAUCUCAAUAAACCUGGUGAUAAAUGCAUCCAAAUUGAUUUAGAUCUUGAGUAUGGUGCAUAAGGAUGCUCAAUGUUACACAUUACUAGAUCAAGUGUUCUUGACUGCGAUCACCAUAAAUUCGCUAGAAAUAAAGAACAGAAAUAAAACUAACCUAAAACACAAAACCAUUCAUGUCAAGGGAAUAAUAUGCCAAUAAAUAAAUACAUUUUCCAUCAACAUUAGAAAAACCAUCAGUACCAUGCUAAAGAGGUAUGGUAAAGAGGCACUACCAUGGAAACACUUCAACCUAUGAAUAAUUCAAACCUGUUGCCUACAACCGUUGCUUACUUUAUUUAAUUUUUCCCUUCAACCUGACACUGGACCGGCAAUUACUUUGGACCGACACACUGUAUUCAUUGACACUCUAUUCGUUGGUGAAAAAUGUAAUCAUCCCUGCCACUGAGAGAGAACCGUAUUCUCCUUUGACAUUGUAAAAAAAAUAAAAUAAAAUAUGAUCAAAGCAUGACUUCACAUCAAAGUCUAGCUAGACGUUCAAACUGUCAUUAUACGAACCGGCAUCAGAGCAAGCAUGUGCAAGAGCGAUGUGAGGAACCGACACAAAAUACCAAAGAAAAUCUUGAAAAACUUAAUGAAGGCAAACGCGUCAAUUAAAACAAGAAAUGAGAUGGCACGGUCAAUGACAAGAAAGCAUCACCUAGCUUUCUAGGUCAGUAUGUACCUAAAAUCAAUUUAGAAAAACUUCCAUAGCCUUAUAAUGUAUACUUUAUAGUAUACAUAAUAAAGUAAGUAAGUAAGUAAGUAAGAACGAAGGUAAAAUAUAUAUCAGACUGUUAUUUGUACUUUACUGCUAAUUGCAUAUCCACAUUUACUGUAAUACUGUUACUUGCUAUUUGCAUAUUUACGUUUAGUGUAAUACACUGUAUGUACCUACUGUAUGUAUCAUAUUGCAUGCAUCAUGCUGUUUACCACUGUACUGGUUAUCUCAACCUAUUGCACCUCAAUUCCCAUUUAUUGCAUUUAAUUUAAUUGCCAUUUGCAUCAUUUGAAUUACCUUUACCUGUACACUGUUACUUAUCGCACUAGAACAUUUAUGUUCAUCAAACUUUUUUUACUGUUUGCACAACUGGGUGGAUGCUAACUGCAUUUCAUUGCCUCUGUACUUGUACUCUGACAAUGACAAUAAACUUGAACCUAACCAAACCUAACUUAAGUAAGUAAGGUAUGUAAGUAAACAAGUGAGUAAGAAAGUAGGAAAUAAGUAAGUAGGUAAGCAAGUAAGUAAGUAGGAAAUUAAGUGGGUAAGUAAGUAGGAAAUUAAGUCGGUAAGAAAGUAGGAAAUUAAGUAGGUAAGUAAGUAGAAAUUAAGUCGGUAAGAAAGUAGGAAAUUAAUUCGGUAAGAAAUAGGAAGAUUAAGUAAGAAAGUAGGAAAUUAAGUCUGGUAAGAAAGUAGGAAAUUAAGUCGGUAAGAAGAAAAGAAUUAUGUCGGUAAGAAAGUAGGAAAUUAAGUAAGUAAGAAAGGUAAGAAAUUAAGUAGGUAAGUAGGUAGGAAAGUAGGAAAAUUAAGUCAGUAAGAAAGUAGGAAAUUAAGUAAAUAAGAAAGUAGGAAAUUAAGUAAAUAAGAAAGAUAGGAAAUUAAGUAGAUAAGUAAUAAGGUAAGAAAAUUAAGUAAGUAGGUAAGAAAGUAAGGUAAGUAAAGAAGGUAACUAAGUUAGGUAAGUAUAUAAGGUAAGUACAUAAGCAAAUAAAUAUGUAAGAAUGUACUUAAGUAUCAAAAACUACUUCCAUAGCCUUAAAGUGUAUGCACUAAUAAUCUAAAACUAUACUUCGCAUGUACUACAGAAAUUUGACAGCACUAACAUUAAUUUCAUUAAUUUUAAGAGAAAAAAGGUUGACAGUUUGUAGCUUAAGUGAUAACAAAAACUAACUUGACAAAUGGAUAAAAAGUACGUCAUUCUUUAAUAAAUAAAUUAAAAAGACCAAAAAAAAUUAAAAAAAAUCAGGUUGUCUGGUUACCAAGAAACCGCAAACCUCAAGAACUUUUCCCAUGUUGGAAAACAUACUGACCGUUACAAAGCCCUGACACUGGAGACUCCUUCCAAAACAUGUCCUUAAAGAAAGCUUCACUAUACCAACAAUUACCUACAUUAAAAUGCCCAUAAGUAAGCUAUUACUACAGGGGGGGAAAAAAAAGGAAAAAAAAAAACACAAAAACGUAUUGCAACAUGUGCAUUAAUACAAACAAACCUGUGUCUUGAUGUUGCAGAUAAUUCAUCAACACCUUCUUACCAAUCAGAAUUAAGCUUUCA